UAGGGGUGAAAGGCCAAUCAAACCUGGACAUAGCUGGUUCUCCGCGAAAACUAUUUAGGUAGUGCCUCGGACGUAUUCCUUGGGGGGUAGAGCACUGAAUGGAUGCGGGCGGCGCGAGCUGUACCAAUUCUAAUCAAACUCCGAAUACCCAAGAGAACUAUCCGGGAGACACACGGCGGGUGCUAACGUCCGUCGUGAAAAGGGAAACAACCCUAACCAUCAUCUAAGGCCCCCAAGUACUGGCUAAGUGGGAAACGAUGUGGGUUUGCUUUGACAACCAGGAUGUUGGCUUAGAAGCAGCC
rnacentral:rRNA from 15 species